rnacentral:lncRNA from 1 species
GCGUCUUUUGCUUCCUCCCUUCGUCAACGCUUUUCUCAGAUCUUGCUGCUAUGGCGACGAUUCUGAUUCUUUUCGCUUCUAAUUAUCGUAGAGAUCCUCCCGAUCUUCACAACCGUGUCGUGUUUUGAUCGAGAUCUGAUGGUUGAUUCCAUGAUUUGGCGACGGAUCUGACGCAGAUCUAGCUUUUCCUCUCGGUAAAUCUGAUCUUCUUGUAUCGAUUAGCUUCUCUUAUAUUCGUUUUUUAAAUAGAAUUGUAGUUUCGUAAUCGAGAAUUCUGUUCUUGAAUAUCAGAUCUGGCUUUGGAUCUUCAUUUGCGGCUUCGUAAGACGAUAUAUCUGUGAAUUGGUCACGUUGAGGCGCAUAGAUCUGGGAUACAAGGAGAUGAAUCUGAAGCAGACGCUAGGGCUUACUCUUUCGUGUUUGGAUUGAAGUGAGUUAGGGUGUAUAAGAUGUUUUGUUGGAUAGCUAUGGCGUCCCGAUCGCAUCUUUGUCAUCCGACCUUUGCCAUGUCAGGUGCGCUUGCAUGGCAGGUCAAAACUGUGCUUAAUAAAAGUUAUUUUGUGGGUUUUGGAGAGGAGAUCGCACGGGUUGUUUAUUUUUUUCCCGGGAUCUCCUCUCCUCUGUGUGUCUUGCCUCGCUCCCUCUCUCUCUCUCUUCCCUCUUUUACAUCUCUAAUUCGCUAUUGGUCAUAUACUCAAAAAAAAAUCGAUCAGAAACAGAGACUGCGACUUAACUGGAGCCGUGGCGAUAUCAAUCCUACUAGCACAAGAGAGUCAAAUCAGGUACUUAUAUUCAUAUUAAUUAUGAUCCUAAGUUAUUAUUCAAGCCAAAUCAGGUACCCAUAUGCAUAUUAACUUGGAUCCUUAAUUACCAUACAAGUAAAUAAGCAUUUGAAAGGAAAUAUCAACAUGAUUUGACUUUACAACAUGUUAUGCACUUCUUUACAACAUGAUAGUCCGGGGCAACGUUUGAUCAUAUUUAAUCGUUUCAUCAAAUAUUACAUUGUUUAAUAUCAUAACAUAAUGUUUUAAAUGAUAUUUUAGUUACUUGUAUAAUGUAAUUAAGUUUUUGUAUUAAGGUUUUCUAAUAAUUUGUCGUCAUUUUAGAAUUUGUAUUUGGCCAAGUUUGUUAUAUCUGUCUGUAACGAUACACUUUCUGUUGAAGUAUGAAGCUCGUUGACAGGAAAAAUGAAGUUUUGGCUAACAUAUAGAUUUCACAAUCCAGCCAUUCUCCUCCUAUUUUAUUUUGUGUUAAAGGUAAAAUUUUUUGGUAAUGGACUUAAAUAGAGUAAAAUGUGUACAUUAAUUUUUGAAUAAUAAAAUAUAUUGUUUAUUCCAAUUUUUUUUUGUUUUUGAAGUUUACAUAUUAGGAUUUUUUUUCUUUUUUGUAAUUAUAUUUUUUUGUUAUCGAAAAGCAGCAUGAUUUCUUCAUUAACGUUUAUGAAACUACUUUAGCUGUCAAUUUGUAUCUAAUUAGAGUUCAUGAGGUAUGAUAUCUGUUUAUUAAAAAUAAUUUCGUAAAAGUUAAUGUAGGCAAUAGUAUAUAUUUAAAAACUCCAAAAUUGUUAUUGUUUAUAGAUCUGUAAGCUCAAAAUGGCAGAGCGCUCGUCUAUUAUGAUGGACGAGAGGUUGGUGGUUCGAAUCCACCCAGUUCUGGAUUUGUUUCGGUUAUUAGAUAAUUUCAAGAGUAAUCUUAAGUUUAUUCAUCCUUUCAUUUAUUUUCUUUACUUUGCUUAUUGAUAGUUUUCCUAAAGGUUUUUCUCUUGUGGUUAAUAAACUUUUUUCUUGGGUUUAGUAUAGUUUUUUUGAUUGGACAAAUUAAGUCGGCAAGAGAGACGUAUUCUUUUUGAGUUGAUUUAUUUUCAGAGUUGAUGGCAUAUAUCUAUUUCAAUUUACUUUCAAUAUCCAUUGCUUGUGACAACAGUUGUUUCACUUUGUGAUCCACAGGAUUGCCAUACACAUGAGCUUUGGAAGAUGCACACUGAAACCACAACAGACGGGGAUUAUAGGAUCAGACUUUGACGGCUACUUGCUUUUGAAUGUGUUACAUCCCAUCGCUAUGCUCUGUAUUGACAUUUGAUACUCGAAAUCUUGUGCAUAGAGAGCUGAUUUCAUAUACAUCAUCUUUCUUAAUUUUAUUGUUCUUUCUUGAUAACUUCACAUAAUUUUAUUUUCAUAAAAAAAAAAAAGACACUAGACAUAUUCUAAUGAACAAUGAUCACGUUACAAAUGCCUAGUCAACUCUUAAAUUUAAUCCCGUAAACUGCUAUAACUUGUGCGCCACAAUCCAUUAGUCUGUUC